GAUGCCAGGGGCAAAAGCCUAAAACUACGAUGUGCUUGCACAUGAGUAGUUUUAGGGCUUAAUGCCCCGCCCCGAUAUGAGCAUAAAAGUGGAGCGUAAGCUUCACGAUAUGCGAAUAUUGGGUAGAAUUGUGAGAGUACGAAGUACGAAACAAUUCGUAU
rnacentral:sRNA from 1 species